AUUGAACGCUGGCGGCAUGCCUUACACAUGCAAGUCGAACGGCAGCGGACCUUCGGGUGCCGGCGAGUGGCGAACGGGUGAGUAAUAUAUCGGAACGUACCUUCAGGUGGGGGAUAACGUAGCGAAAGUUACGCUAAUACCCGCAUAUUCUGUGAGCAGGAAAGCAGGGGAUCGCAAGACCUUGCGCUGAUUGAGCGGCCGAUAUCAGAUUAGCUAGUUGGUGAGGUAAAGGCUCACCAAGGCGACGAUCUGUAGCUGGUCUGAGAGGAUGGCCAGCCACACUGGAACUGAGACACGGUCCAGACUCCUACGGGAGGCAGCAGUGGGGAAUAUUGGACAAUGGGGGCAACCCUGAUCCAGCCAUGCCGCGUGUGUGAAGAAGGCCUUCGGGUUGUAAAGCACUUUAAGCGAGGAGGAAGGUCACUGUACUAAUAUUAUAGUGAAUUGACGUUACUCGCAGAAUAAGCACCGGCUAACUCUGUG
rnacentral:rRNA from 1 species